CAAACGGUUAGAUUGAUUGAAGACAUCGAAGGCUGUAGACUGCAUUUGGCAUCGCUGUGGCAUCAGCUAUGAAUAUGAACAGACAGAUUUGAAAAUCAGAGUGAGUAUGUAUAUAUAUAUAUAUAUAUGUAAAUAUAUAUACAUAUAUAUAUGUAUAUAUAUAUGUAUAUAUAUGCAUAUAUGUAUAUGUAUAUGCAUGUGUAUAUGUAUAUGUAUACACAUAUAUAUGUGUGUGUAUGUGUGUGUAUGAAUAUGUGUAUAUAUGUUUGUAUAUAUGUGUAUAUAUAUAUAUAUAUGUAUAUAUAUGCAUAUAUGUAUAUGUAUAUGCAUGUGUGUAUGUAUAUGUAUACACACAUAUAUAUAUGUGUGUAUGUGUGUGUAUGAAUAAGUAUAUAAACGUUUGUAUAUAUGUGUAUAUAUAUGUAUGUGCGAGUGUGUAUGUAUAUAGGUGUAUAUAUGUAUAUAUUUAAGAGACAUUAUUUUUCUAUGUAUGUAUAAGAAAGUGUAUCUAGCACUACUUUCAGAUCGUUCAGCAUCUCUUUCUCUCUCUCGCUCUCUCUCUCUCACUCACUCCCUCUCUCUCUCCCUCUCUCUCUCUCUCUAUAUAUAUAUAUAUAUAUAUAUAUAUAUAUAUGUGUGUGUGUGUGUGUGUGUGUGUGUGUAUCAGUGUGUGUGAGUGUGCGUGUAUGCGACAGUGUAUAUUCCUGUAAAUUCCUAAAACAAUAUAUACACAAAUUAUGUUUAUGAAAAAAGAGAAAGAGAGAAAUGGGGAGGGAGAGAUAAGAGAGAAUGAGAGACAGAGAGAGAGAGAGAGAAAGAGACAGACAGACAGACAGAAAGAGAGUGAGAGAGACCGAGAAAAUAUAGAAGUGAAAUAUAAACACAAAUACGUGUAUAUAUGCCUGAUAUGGAACUGGCUAAAAUAUGUGAUAUUGUCAAAAUGAGCAACUAAAACAAUGAAAGCGGUGCACCGGCUUAGUCGCAGUUCAACAUCUUAUAUAUAUAUAUAUAUAUAUAUAUAUAUAUAUAUAUAUAUAUAUAUAUAUAUAUAAGUACAUAUUUUUUCUGUCUGUCUAUAUAUCUAUUUAUCUAUCUAUCCAUUCAUCUGCCUGUUUAUCUAUCUAUCUAUCUAUCUAUCUAUCUAUCUAUCUAUCUAUCUAUCUAUCUAUCUAUCUAUCUAUCUAUCUAUCUAUCUAUCUAUCUAUCUAUCUAUCUAUCUAUCUAUCUAUCUAUCUAUCUAUCUAUCUACAUACAUAUAUAUAUAUAUAUAUAUAUAUAUAUAUAUAUAUAUAACAUACAUUCAUACAUACAUACAUACAAAGAUAUACACUAUAGAUGCAUGUAUAUAUAUAUAUGUGUGUAUAUAUUCUUAUAUAUCCAUACAUACAUAUAUAUUUACACACACACACACACACACACACACAUAUAUAUAUAUAUAUAUAUAUAUACAUACAUGCAUAUAUAUAUAUAUAUAUAUUUACAUACAUACAUAUAUAUUAUAUAUAUAUGUAUUUAUAGAUAGAUAGACAGAUAGAUAGAUAGAUAGAUAGAUAGAUAGAUAGAUAGAUAGAUAGAUAGAUAGAUAGAUAGAUAGAUAGAUAGAUAGAUAGAAAGAUAGAUAGAUAGAUAGAUAUGCGUAUAUGUCGAAUGUUUAAGUGGGAUCCUGAAUGUCCAUCGAUCUGAUGCGAUUUCUACACAUUCCUUACAUUCUUUCCAUGAGUAUUAUAGAUUUAUUUUUCGUGUUUAUUAAUUCAUGAAAGACUGUAACAUAUAUCAAUGCUUCCCUUUUCUUUGUUUAUAUACAUACAUUUCUAGUUCAGCUAUUGUAUAUUUUCACCGAAGAGUAUUUUGUUUAUCUCUCUUGAUUAGACUCACGAUUACACAUAAUUACUUUAGAAAAAAGAAAAAUAUGCUUAGGUAUCAGAACUGGAUUGCAAAUUGUUGUUAGACUUUUUUUUAUAUAAGGCGUUCUCUAAUAUAUUGAUAAAUUUUGGGAUAUGUAUGGAGGAUAUAUGUAUAUAUAUAUAUAUAUAUAUAUAUAUAUAUAUAUAUAUAUUUAUAUAAGGAAGGAAGGGCUUAUGCGCUUAUAUGUAUAUGUAUUUACUCACCUGCAACCAUACACUCUCAAAUAAAAUAUUGUUUUAAAAUAAACAUAUGUUAACAUAUGUAUGGGUGUAUGAAUCUGUAUAUCUACAGACGUAAAUAUUAAUCUAUAUUCAUAAACAUUCAUAUAUAUGUGUAUGUGUGUUUGUAUCAAAAAUAUGUAUCAAUAAUAAAGUUAUUGUUUCUUAUCAGGAUGACCUUAUAUUUGUUUGUUCUGCAACCAUAGUUUAAUGUAACAAUAUGUAUGCAUAUGUUUAUGUGUUUGUCUGUGCUGUAUAUAUACAUACAUACAUAGAGAGAGAGAGAGAGAGGAAGUAAGAACGAAACAAAGAUAGAUUCACAGAUAGAGGGAGAGAGAAAGAGAUGCAUUUAUCGCCUGUUUUGUGUUACUGGUUUUGUUAUUUUGUUAAAGAUAUUUCUUUCAGUUAUCGUUAUAUUAUAAAUUACGCAUUACUUAAAUUAUCAUUUAAUUUCAGAAAAAAAUUGUAGAUUAUUUACUAAAAUAUUUCCGGUAGUUGUUUAUCUCCCUUUACGUUAAGACUUCAAACACUUGCCGCGAGUUCCGAGAACGGUAAGUUAUAAUAUCAUCUAAGUAAAUAGCAUAAGCCUUAAUCCGACACUCCCUUUAUUAAGAACAAUUUAACUAUGUUAAGAGUCCGCUUUAUUUCAGGCUUUCAAGCCUAGUCUCUGAUGUUCUUUUCAAUCUAGAAGGCGUGUAGACCCCGAUUAAAAUGUUAGUUACUCUACUUUUAGUAUUCUACAUAUAUCAAUAUAUCAAUAUUUUGGAAAAAUAUUUUACAUAUUAUUGGGUCAGAGCAGACGAAUAAUUUCGCACGUUAUCGUCCAAAAAUAGUUGUUAUGUUAACUAGGAAAAUAAUUAAAAUAAUAUAUAUUCAUUUCAAAGUUUGUUUCUUCCUCUGCAAAAAGAUAGCUUCGUAGUUCAAUUUAGUAAUAGUAAAUCAAAUUUCACAAUAUAUAAUAUAUGUAUAUAAAUUAGAGAAAAAAACCACCUUUUAUCAAUUCAACAAUGAAAUAACAAUUAUAUAAUUAAAUCAUACUAUAUAGAAAAAAAUUAAAUAUACGAUAAAAACACAUACCAAUAAUUAAGUAAUGUAUAAGAUAAUAUUUGUACAUCACUUAAUUAUUGGUAUUUGUUUUUAUCGUAUAUUUAAUUUUUUUCUAUAUUGUAUAAUUUAAUUAUAUCAUUGUUAUUUCAUUGUUGAAUUGAUAUAAGGUGGUUUUUAUCUAAUUUAUAUAUAUAUAUAUAUAUAUAUAUAUAUAUAUAUAUAUAUAUAUAUAUAUAUAUAUAUCAUAUCUAAAAUACCCAGAAAAAAGCAAAUAAUAUAUUCUCAUGACACCGCAAGUGUCGGACCUUCUAUGUGGUCGAUGAAUUUGCUGAAAAUUUCAAAUAAUCUCUCUCAAAUCUUUGGCAAUGGAAAAAAUUUAGUUUUAAAAAAAUGCUCAUUUAUAUUCUGAAAUAUACGAAAACAAAAAGAAAAGGGCAUUAUAUUCACGGUUUCAACUAAUCACUCGUCGAUAAUAUCAGCAACAGUGUAGCAGUAACAACAAGAAUAUUAAAUAAAAUAACAUAUCUUCCUUACGAUAGCAAGUUUAAGUAUCUAUAGAUCAAAAUACUAAUAAGAAAUUUAAAUGCAAUGGAUAUAUUGAAACAAAGGGAAGCUAUCCAGACAGAAAUGAACUACAUGAGUCGUCAGCAUCGGUUCACUAUAAAGAUUCAUUGCAACUAAAAUAUAUAUUUGCAAAAAUCUAUGAAUAAAAUAUAUAUUUCGAAUCAGCUAUAAUUUAUCAUGUUGAGCAUGAUUUUUUGUGCGUAUGAUAUCUACGGAUAUCUAGAUUAUUUUCCAUUGACAUUUAAUCUAAUUGCAUUUGUAAUGUAAUAUGCACACCGGUGUAUAUAUAUAUAUAUAUAUAUAUAUAUAUAUAUAUAUAUAUAUAUAUAUAUGUCUGUAUGUAUAUAUACAUACAUAUAUAUAUAUAUACAUAUCUAAACAACAAAUAUAUAUAUCUUCUUGUUCAUAUAUAUGGAUAUAUGAAUAGAUGGAUAUCAAUCUGUAUAUCUAUUUCUUUGUCAAUCAAUCUAUCUACCUAUAUAUAUCUCUAAAUGUGUAAAUAUAUAUUUAUAUAAAUAAGGAUAAGAUCGUUAUUUAAAAUACCGAUCAUUCAAUGUGGUUUUAAAGUCAAGUUUUGGCUGCUAUAUCUAGCAUGUUGUUAUCUUUUAGAUACUCUUGAUUACGAUUUUCUGUAAAUAUAUAUAUAAAUAUACUUGUUCGUGUGUAUAUAUAUAUGUAUAUAUAUAUAUAUAUAUAUAUAUAUAUAUAUAUAUAUAUAUAUAUAUAUAUAUAUACAUAUAUGCAUAGAUAUACAUAUAUAUACAUAUAUAUAUAUACAUUUAUGUAUACAUAUAUGUAUGUAUAUAUAUGUAUACACGCAUAUAUGUAUAUAUAUAUGCAUAUACAUAUGCAUAUACACAUAUACAUAUAUGUAAGAAUAUAUUUAUAUAUAUAUAUAUGUGUGUGUGUAAAAAUGCAAAUAUAAACAUAUGUAGAUGUACAAAAAGCUUAUACAUAUGCAUAGAAUCAGUUACAUAUAUAGAUAAAUUUCUCUCAUUAUCUCUAUCUUCCCCUCUUUCUCGACAUAUCAGAAAAUGUGCGUAUGACCUCACCCCUGUUUACAUGAGUAUGUAUACGCUUAGUCUACCCACAUACAGAAACAAGCAAAUAUGCACACACAGAGACACAUACACUCGCACACCCAUACACACACAAACUCACGCACACAUACUCACACACAUACAAAGGUAGUAGGUUACUUCAGUUUCAGAGGAAUCUUAAAGUUUUAAUAGGUCACUUCCGAUCAUCUGUAUGACCCUGGGUGAGGAAAUCGGAAUUUAACUCAGCAUUCAUUUCUGCACCAUACUCAGCAAAUUUUGCUCUACCCGCUCCCUUCCGCUACUCUCUCGCUGUGUGUAUAUGUCUGUGUGUGUGUGUGCGUGUGUGUGUGUGUUUGUGUGUGUGUGUGUGCGUGUGUGUGUGUGUGUGUGUGUGUGUGUGUGUGUGUUGUGUGUGUGUGCCUGACAUUCUUAUAUUCAUGUGAAUAAAUAUGCUUGAAUUUUCUCAUAAAAUGUUUAUCACAUUUUCAUAUUGACAUUGUCAUAUACUUAAACGUGUACAACCACGCGCGAGCACGCACACACACAUACAGUCAUGCAUACACUCCCAGGUACUUAUGCAUACAUAACUUGUGUAUAUGUAUGCAUAAGAAUAUAUAGAUACACAUACGUAUACAUAUAUAUAUAUAUAUAAAUAAAAAUUAAAUUAGAGAUAAAACCACUAUUAGGCAAAUCAAACAAUGAAAAACAUAAACCAAAACAUAAAAAUAAAAAAUAAUUAAUAUAAUAUACAAAAUAUAUAAAAUAUAAAAUUAAAAAAUUUAAAUUAUUUAAAUUUAGAAUUAAAUUAUUAAUUAAUAUUUAUAAAUUUUAUUUAUAAAUAUUUUUAUAAAAUUAAAAAAAAUUUUUUUUUAAUUAAAAAAAAAUCAUUAAACAUAUAUAACUAUCAAAAAGUAUUAAAAAGUUGAAAAGUUUAAUAUAUAUAUAUAUAUACAUACAUACAUACAUAUAUAUAUAUAUAUAUAUGUAUACAUAUAUAUAUGUAUACAUAUGCGUAUAUGAAUUAUAGCAUAUGAAUGUAUCUUUGUGCGUAAAUAUGUGUAUGAAUGUCAGUGUUCUCAUGUAUAUAUAUAUAUAUAUAUAUAUAUAUAUAUAUAUAUAUAUGUACAUAGAUAGAUUGAUUGAUUGAGUGAGUGAUUGAGUGAUAGGUAAUAUGAAAAUUAACAGUGAGUCGCAUGUUCCUAUAGCAAUAUAGGAACAUGCGCAAAGAGACUUAUAUUACUGUAUCUAUGCACAAAUAUGCGUAACUACAUGCAUGCAUGCAUACAUACAUACAUACAUACAUACAUACAUAUAUAUAUAUAUAUAUACAUAUAUACACACACAUAUAUAGAUGUAUAUACAUAUAUAUAUAUAUAUAUAUAUAUAUAUAUAUACAUGUAUACACACACAUAUGUAUGUAUAUAUUUAUAUAAAUAUAUAUAGGGAGAGAGAGAAAGAGAUAGAUGAAGAGAGAGAGAGAGAGAGAAAAAAAUGAUGGAUUCAUGUAUAUGUAUAUAUGUAUGUAUAUGACAACGUAUAUAUAUGAAUGCAUGCACAUAUAUAUGGUAUAUAUGUCUGUACUCUGAUAUAUGUAUUUAUAUGCCUGCUCAGAAUAUGAAAGAAAGAGAAAUUUCAAAAUGCUGUAAUGCAUCACAGAAUUACAGACAAGGAGGUAUUUUAUAGGGAUGUGAAAAAACCUUUCCGAACUUAAAGAUAUUCAAUUACCUCAAAUUAACUUCCGUUGGUCUUAUUUUCCUAUAUCUUAUUUAUUGUUUUAUACCACGAUCUAUAAAAAGAAUAUAGUUGCUAAAGUAUAGUGAAAAUAUACCUCGCUCCUCUGCGUCAGUGUGUGUGUUCAUAAUAUGUAUGUAUAUAUAUAUAUAUAUAUAUAUAUAUAUAUAUAUAUAUAUAUAUAUAUAUAUACGCCAUGAUAGAUCGUUAGCUCCUACACGCAUUUUUUUCUCUCCUUGUUUCUCUCCUUGUUUUUUUCUGUGUAUCUUUCUAUCGAAGAGCGUAGGCUCGAAACGUAAAAUACUUUUUCUAUUUCUAUUCCUGAGCGCUAUACAAAUACAUUUGUUUGUUUGUACUCCACCUGCCUUCGUCUCUUGUUUAUUUUCGUAAACUUUCCCGAUAUACAUAUAUAAUAUAUAUAUAUAUCAUGUACACACACACAAUUGUUUUAUUUAUUAUUUUGCACAUUACUUAAUUAUCGUUAUAUUUUUAUCUUAUAUUUAAGCUUUCUAUUCUAUUACAUGUAAUUUUCUAGAUGGUGUAAUUUAAUUUUCCAUUUUGAAUUGAUAAAAGGGUUUUCGUCGAAUUUAUAUAUAUAUGUAUAUAUAUAUUAUAUUUUGUGAAAUUUGAUUUAGUAUUUCCAAAUUCAAUUUUUCCCUGUAAAUAUGGAAUAAUAUUUCCUCAUAUUAUAUAUAUAAAUAUAUAUAUAUAUAUAUAUAUAUAUAUAUAUAUAUAUAUAUAUAUAUAUAUCUGUAAAUGUAAUAUGUGACAAUUAUUCGGUAGCCAUGAUAAAACUCCGAGUUUCGGAUGUCUGGGUGGAAACUCGGAGUUGUAUCAUGGCUACUGAAUAAUUGUCACAUAUUAUAUUUACAGAUAAAUUCCUCUAUUUACAUAAUAUCGAGGUCUCUUUCAGUCUUUUGUUGUCUAACAAUUCCUACCAACAUAUAUAUAUAUAUACGAGAACGCACACACACUCUCUCUCCCACACACACAUA
rnacentral:lncRNA from 1 species